CAACAUUGCUCUUGCCUCCUCUUCGAUUCUCCUCUCCAGCUUCUUCCGUUCAUCAAAGACUUCCUUUUUCUCAUCUUUAACUCACAAUAUCUGACCGUUUUAGUUGAGGAAAGCUUGGGGUCCGAAAAGGGUUGGAUUUUACCCCAAAAUAUAUCUUCUCGGAGAAAAUUUCAAAGAAGGCGGGAGGUUUGGAGUUGUCUUCUUGUCUAUCUUCCGGAUUUCAGUUGGUAUUCCAUAGAUUUGUAGUUAUCUACCCCGCAUUGGGAGGAUCUUCAUGCAAACUGGCUGCCCUUAAUCGAUUUCUUGAUGGAUUAAAAAGGCAGCACUGUGGAAAGAAACUCGAUGUGUGAGAAAGAGAGAUGCAAUUCCAUGACUUGGAGGAUAAUUAUUUCAAGUGCCAAUUUACCAUGACAGAUGAUCAGUAGCUGAAAACCUAUGCACAGACUUCGAAAGACAAUAAAAACAAUCGAAAAGGCACUUGUUCAACCAGCUUCUUCAAUAGCCCAAAAAUUAUGGGUUUCAUGAUUCAGUUGUUCUGGAAAAGCUUCUUGCCAAUAAAUGGUACAUUUACUACACUGCAAUUGCAAAUGAGUUUGAACUUUGAAGAUCUUGCCAAAUCUGACCUGGUGGAUCCAUGCAGAGUUUCAAAAUGUGCUUUUCUAAACUGCAGAAUCAAUGUCUUAAUAACUCAAGCUGUCAAAGUGGAGAAGUGGAGAAAAGAAGGUAGAUUACUUGUUUUGAAAUGAUAUAAACCUUGCAAUUCCAUCACUCAGAACUCAAUACUGCCAAACUGAAAAUUCGAACUGUCUGGCUUGCUGAUUACUUGGGGAUGACAAUGUAUGA